rnacentral:rRNA from 1 species
UACAGAGGGGGCAAGCGUUGUUCGGAAUUACUGGGCGUAAAGGGCGCGUAGGCGGCCUUCUAAGUCGGACGUGAAAUCCCCAGGCUCAACCUGGGAACUGCGUCCGAUACUGGAUGGCUUGAAUCCGGGAGAGGGAUGCAGAAUUCCAGGUGUAGCGGUGAAAUGCGUAGAUAUCUGGAGGAAUACCGGUGGCGAAGGCGGCAUCCUGGACCAUUACUGACGCUGAGGCGCGAAAGCUAGGGGAGCAAACGGGG